GUGCUUGCUUUGGCAGCACAUAUACUAAAACUGGAAUAAUACAGAGAAAAUUAGCAUGGCUGUUGCACUAGGAUGACAAAAAAAAGUUUCUCCAAAUCUUU
rnacentral:snRNA from 1 species